ACUUGCGACCCGAAUCCACGACGAUUUCGACAGCCCGCCAUGAUGAUUGUCAAUAUUGGCAUUGGUAUUAUUGACGAGACCAUAUUGCGUCGAUGCACGUGCCGUAAGCCCACCUCUCGCGGGUAUAAAACGAGCGCGUGCAUACGCUCCGGGACAUUAUCCGUAUCCGGUGGCUCAAGGUCGUCGGGCGCACCACCUGUAUUACUGUUUGUGCACAUAUCGAAAACUUAUGUGCCCGUAACCGUGGUCGACGGAAGUGACAUAAUGGACCGACACGUCAGCCCCACCAAUAUGCGGAAGUGGACGCUGGUCGCCGUGGCCCUGAUAUUACUGAUGUACGUCCAAACAUCAAUGUCGGCACCAUGCGGGUGCGGGUGCGGGUGCGGCUGUUGUAGUUGUGGAUGUGGAUGUGGCUGUGGUUGCUGUGGUGGUGGCGGCUGUUGCUGAAAAAUAAAACCAUUUUGAUCAAGAGCCUGGUUGAGCUCGACAUAACGAACCCGAACUAUGAUAAUAGAUUUGAUAAGAUUUUACUUGAUCGAUUAUUUUUAUUUUUAGCUACGAUUAUGUUAAAUAUUUGAAUAUCAGAUUUUUAUAUUUUUUUGUUUGAUUUAAUUAUUAAAAGUUAUGAAUAUGAAUUUUCAAACGUUAGAACAGUAAAUAAAACAAAUAAAAAAUUUGAAGUUUCUUUUCACACAAUAUUAGCACAUUACUUUCUGCGGACAUGGUCGUGAUUACUUAGUUCCUGACCAUUAUAUCAAUAUACUUAUCACUAGUUUAUGUAGUCGUUCUGAACGAUCGGAAUUAGUCAACGUUGUGUAUGGUCCUUAUGAUGUGCUUAUGACAUGCCUAGUGAAUGCGAUUUUAUUCGUGUAUGUUCAAAUGGCUUCUUCGGCGCCAUGCUGUGGUGGCUGUGGUGGCUGCGGUGGCUGUACAUCAAGUUUUGGUUAUAGUUUCUUCAGUAGUUUUCCAAAAAUUACACUUUCCUUCAAAUUUUUAGGUUAGUUAUAAGGUAAACGCUUUAAAUUUUUAAUGGUUGGUUAUAUUAUAUAACAUAUAAUUUCUCAAAAUGUUUCAAGUAAUCAAAUAUCUAACGUAUUUAUUAAUACAAUUAGGCUUAUAAUAAAUCAUGUUUGUAUUUUUCUGAAAUUUU